AUGUUUUACGCAUCUGUGAGUACAUCCAAGAAAGCUGUUGCUGGCCUGAGACGUAUUAAUCUUGAUGGUUUGAGAUGGAGAGUAUUCAACGCGAAAGGCCAGGUUCUUGGAAGGCUAACAUCUCAAAUAUCUACUGUGAUCCAAGGCAAGGAUAAACCAACAUACGCUCCAAAUCGAGAUGAUGGAGAUAUGUGCAUUGUGUUGAAUGCGAAGGAUAUUUGCAUCACAGGGAGAAAACUGACUGAUAAAGUUUACCGUUGGCAUACUGGGUAUGUGGGGCAUCUGAAGGAGAGGACGUUAAAAGAUCAGAUGGUCAAAGAUCCUACAGAAGUCAUUCGCAAAGCUGUGUUACGCAUGCUCCCAAGGAACAAAUUGCGCGAUGAUAGAGAUAGAAAGCUGAGGAUCUUUCCAGGAAGUGAACACCCUUUUGGUGAUCGGCCACUUGAACCAUAUGUGAUGCCCCCCGUGCAAGACGAGCCAUUGUCCGAGCUCAGAAAAAGGCUGAACAGCAACCACAAGCUGCUAAUGAUCCGCGAAAGGGAAAGAAGAAGGACACACGGGAAUUGGUUGCUUCUAAUUAGUCCAGCUUAUUUGGCCUUGUGAAAGUUGUUAGUGAGUAACAGGGUCUUAAUCAGGUUUUUUAUGGAGUAGACGGUAGUGCUUUUCCCCACCAAUACUUGAGGGUUUGAGUUGUCAA